CUGGUUGAUCCUGCCAGUAGUCAUAUGCUUGUCUUAAAGAUUAAGCCAUGCAUAUCUAAGUAUAAGUAUUUAUACAGCGAAACUGCGGAUGGCUCAUUAAAUCAGUUAUAGUUUACUUGGUGGUGUUUUUUACUUGGAUAACUGUAGUAAUUCUAGAGCUAAUACAUGCGUAAAACCCCGACUUUGCGGAAGGGGCGUAAUUAUCAGUUAACAAACCGGGAGCGGGUACCCCCCGCACUCUGGUGAAUCUCAGUAAUCCAAUCUUUUCUUUUCUGAUCGUAUGGUCCUGCACCGACGACGCACCAAUCAAGUUUCUGCCCUAUCAACUUUGGAUGGUAGUGUAUUGGACUACCAUGGUUAUAACGGGUAACGGGGAAUUAGGGUUCGAUUCCGGAGAGGGAGCCUUAAAAACGGCUACCACUUCCAAGGAAGGCAGCAGGCGCGCAAAUUACCCAAUCCUGAUACAGGGAGGUAGUGACAAGAAAUAACAAUACAGGUCCUUCAACGGACUUGUAAUUGGAAUGAGUACAAUGUAAACAUCUUAACAAGGAACAAUUGGAGGGCAAGUCUGGUGCCA
rnacentral:rRNA from 1 species